UACGUAGGGUGCAAGCGUUAAUCGGAAUUACUGGGCGUAAAGCGUGCGCAGGCGGUUAUGUAAGUCUGAUGUGAAAUCCCCGGGCUCAACCUGGGAAUUGCAUUGGAGACUGCAAGGCUAGAAUCUGGCAGAGGGGGGUAGAAUUCCACGUGUAGCAGUGAAAUGCGUAGAGAUGUGGAGGAACACCGAUGGCGAAGGCAGCCCACUGGGUCAAGAUUGACGCUCAUGCACGAAAGCGUGGGGAGCAAACAGG
rnacentral:rRNA from 1 species